AGUGAACGCUGGCGGCGUGCUUAACACAUGCAAGUCGAACGAGAACGGGUUAUAGCUUGCUAUAAUUGUCAGCUAAGUGGCGCACGGGUGAGUAAUGUAUAGGUAAUAUGCCUCUUACUAAGGGAUAACAAAUGGAAACGUUUGCUAAUACCUUAUACUCCUUAUUAACAUAAGUUAAUAAGGGAAAGAUUUAUUGGUAAGAGAUUAGCCUGUAUUGUAUCAGUUAGUUGGUGGGGUAAUGGGUUACCAAGACUAUGACACAUAACUGGUUUGAGAAGAUGGUCAGUCACACUGGAACUGAGACACGGUCCAGACUCCUACGGGAGGGAGCAGUGGGGAAUAUCCCACAAAGGACGAAAGUCUGAUGCAGCAACGCCGGGUGGGGGAUGACACAUUUCGGUGCGUAAACUCCUUUUAUAUGAGAAGAUAAUGACGGUAUUAUAUGAAUAAGCACCGGCUAACUCCGUGCCAGCCGCCGCGGUAA
rnacentral:rRNA from 1 species